rnacentral:lncRNA from 1 species
CAGUAGAAUAGUCAGAAACAUACUAUUGCCCAUCCUAGCUCCAUGGCUCCCCUUUGUAUAGCUUAACUGAUGAUAAGCUUAUUCUUGGCAGCAUAUUGUCGUCCAGCCGUAAGGAUUUGUAUAGCCUCCUAGAAAGUUUAACUAAAAGAAUUUAUUUUUGAUCAUUCCUGUCCAUGCGUGAAGACCAACUUUUAGAACCAGUGAGUGACAAAUGUUCCACUGUUGCUGGAAUAGGAAGAGGAGGGAAGAAAAGCAAGCCCCAAAGAAAACAACAUGUCACAAAUAAUAUUUGAAACUAAGGGACAGAUGAUUGCUAGA